AUCCGUCAAUUUACCAAACAAAAGAACCAACAGACCCAAACGAUCCAUAAGGCUUUUUUCAACGUAAGCCACAGCUGUUCACGAUCGUUUUUGGCAAAGUUCAGCACGCGUUUUCACCAUAGCAGCCUUUGAUUCACCAUUUUGGGUUCAAAUGGAUUCAUGAGCAAUCCGACUUGUCCCACAUCGCUAUUUUUCCUCAACCCAACAUUUGGGGUUCUAUAAAUAGAACCCUCUCUCUUCAUUCUGGGAGGAUAAGUUUUUAAACCCCCAAGUUCUGAACUCUUCAAUUUUCAGCUUUAGACAAGAAAUUUCCUCUUGUAAGCUAAGUUUUUGAAUCGUCGGAACAAGUUAAAAUUUUUUGGAGUUCGAGUCGGUUCCUUGUGGUUCAAAGGUCGAAGGUGAUCGUUUCAACUCUCGUUGCCCCCAUCACUGCUAGGCAAAAGGGUAACUUUCCUUCUUGUCUUAGUAUUCUUAUUUUCUUUAGUUCUGUGUUUCAAUUAAUUUUUUUUUUUUGAUUAAGCACCGGGUGUCCGGGUCUCUUUGAGCCCCAACUAAUCCCGGGGGUGCACAGGCCCUCGGCAAGGAGUUUCCCGCAAGUGCACCACGGGUAAUUCAGGGUUUUACCCCAGUCCGAUGGCCCUCAGAAAUUGUUUGCACCCAGUGGGUUUCGAACUUGAGACCUUGAAAGGGAGCAAACCCCAAGGCUCAAGCCAAUUACCACCGGGCCAACCCCUGAGGGUUUCAAGUAAAUUUGUUUAGCUUCAUUUUCGUUUUAGACGUUUAGAUUCCUCUUAAAUGUUUAUUUCAUAUGAUGCAGUUUUUUUUUUUUUUUUUAAGUUUUGAGUUGUUUAGGUUCCCUUUCAAUCCUAUUUUCCAGUUCUGUUGUUUUUGAAUUCGCGUAGGUUAACUUAGUUUGUUUUCGUUUAAUUUAGACAGUAAUUCUCUUCCUCAUCUUAGUAUUGUUUUCAUUUAGUUCUGUUUGUUUUCAAAUUCCUGUAGCUUAGUUCUGUUUUAAUUUUGUUUCUGCUUUAGUAUGUAAUCCUCAAUCCUUUCCCUUUCAAUUUCAGCCUUUAAUUCUGAUUAUUAUGUGAUAUUUGUGGUUAUUGAGUAAUUAAUGUUAGUCGGUGAGUGAUUAGCGUGUUUGUAGCUCAUUCAUUUAGUAUGGAUGUAAGUUAGUUCUAAUUAUAUAAUUUUGGCUCUGUUUUGUUUUAAAUAAAGGGCCUUGUGAACUGUUUGUUAUAGCUGCUGGUUGAGCUUAAAAUAGCUUCCUAUAGGUGCUGAUUGAUUUGAAUCGUUCCCCUUUAAAAGACUGUUAGAUCUGCCCUUGUGCUGGGAUAAUGCAUCGUUCCAAAAUUUGUGUUUCUUUCAGUUUUAGCUAGUUGUUUUGACUAACUAAGAAUUAUUUCUAAAUGCCUAGUUAGCAGUUAAGAAAUUUCAGAUUACAUCAGUUCCUAUUUUAGCCGCUGAGAAAUUGUCUCAAGUGUUGGUUAUAUCUUGAUCUGGCUAAUAUUGGCUGCUCACAUGUUUAAUUUUGUUCACCUAGAAGAGUAACAAAAUAUACUUUUUUGAUUUAGUAAAAAGGUUGCAAGAUAAUUUGAAAUUGGAAGUCAGUUUAUGUUCUUAUUUUGUCUAGUAAAGCCUAGUUUGAACUUGUCUAUCUUCACUAGCUUAAUAGUAAGUUCCUUCCACCUUUCAGGGUUGAUUUAAGUUUCAAUUAAGGACUUGAAGAGUUGGUUAAUUAUUUUUCCUUCCAUCACUUGGUUUUGAUUUGUCUAUAUUUCUUUAAAUAGUGUCAUUGGUUAGUUUAAAUAGGAACUUGUUGAAUCCAACCAGCUUUUUUCCUUUGUUGCGGGAUUCUGGAAAGUGUGUUGCUAAAGAGUUAGUAUGCCUAAACUACUGGUUGAUGCCCUUUGUUGACAUCAAAUGUGGCUUGGAGGGUUAGCUUUCCCUGGCUAGUUAACUUAUUCUCACAAAAAUGAUUCUUAAGGACUAUUAUGGACAUGUUUUGGGUACCAAAAGAUAACUUUAGCCAUGUUAAGAAUCGAGAAUCUCCCUUAAAGUAAAUACGAUAUUCUACCUCUUAAUCUGUUGUAAAAUCCUUCAUUGAAAUUGGUGUGUGGUUUGUGUGCUAAAGAGUGGCAUGUUCCCCUGAAAGUAAGCUAGUGGUAACUUACCUAGUAAUUAAAAAAUGCUCAGCUGAUCCAUAACUGAUUUUGCUCUCUGAAUGUGUUUCUUUUAACUCAUCAAAUUGUUUCCUCCUUUCUCCUUCACUAUUCUGCACUUUGUUUUAGGAACCAGUAUAGGGAACUAAGCAUUUUCUAGAUCUAUUUGCCUCUGCCUUACUCUUCAUUUUUUAGUACGUUAAUCCUUAAGAGGAGUAAUUAGGUAGCCUUCACUGCUUAUCUUUCUCUGUUUCUUUUAGUAAAACAACAAAUCGCCUUCAACUCUUUUUCAUUUGUGGUGUCCCUAAGUGAUAAUUGAUUGUUUUUUCUAGAUACUUAUAUAGAGUCCAAAAGCUUUCAAAUGUGUUAAGCAUAAUUAGAGGCUGUGUUUUAAUCCUCCUUCAAGGGAUUAAGACAUCAAAUGUUGGUUAGCUAAUCAUCAUGUCUUGACAAAUCUGUUCUUUUAGCAUUCAUGGAGUAACCUAAAGUGUCCAUUCAUUAUGAGAUUAACCCUUUGUCUUAGAAAUAUUAAUAAGGUGUGAUUCGCUAUUUGUUCAAAUAGUAUAUUCAGCCUGCCCUAUCUUUAAAUACCAAUUUAAGACUUGUUUCGAAAGCUGAUAGGUUGGCAGCGACUUCUCCUUCUACUUAUUUCUAGCUCACCUAUUUUCUUAGAAGAUCUCUAUAAAAUCAGCUUCGGGUAUAACUUAUUUACUUCAACAUUUGAUUUCUUUUUUCUUGAAAUAGAAACAAUAGCUUAAGUUACAUGUGUUGUUAACAGAAGUCCUGUUUAGUUCCCUCUAAUGAAUAAUAAGUGAAAGACUAAAAUCAUAGCCUCUUCUUGCUUACGGAUGGAAGUUGUUCUAAGUUCCCUCUUAUAUGAUAAGUGCUAUUAUUAAUUGCUUGAGUUCCAUUUGAGCCUGAAUUCAUGUUGCAUUAAUUGAAUUCUUUAGGUGUUUAGUUCAAAUAAUAGCUUUGUCACAGUUGGAUACUAAUCUUUCUCCUCUUUUUUGGCGCAUGAACGCACCCGAGGGUCUAAUUGGACUUAUGCAUUUUCUCCUCCGCAUUAUCCCGUUGGGCCGGAAGCCCAACAUGCAUUAGAUAGAGUCGCACCACAUGUAUUGAAGGCCCAGUCAUGGGUGAAAAUGACAUAAGUUUAUGGUUGGUGAGCUUGGUUGACGAUCCGCCCUGGAGGUUGCUGUUUAGCUGAUAUGGGAGCACUCCUCUUGUUCUGGAGUUGUAGUCUAGUUUUGUUUUGGUACGAUAUUUUUGAUAUACACAUGGCUAUGGCGGGGCCGUUUCCCCACCUUGUUAUGUGAUACACUCCAGUAGAGGCUUGUAGACAGUCAUGGUAUAGUUAGACGUUGUUUGGUCCUUUCAGCCUACAUUUUUCAUGCAUAGUAUUUCAUGAUGCCCUUGUUGGCUUGCAUAGUUUUUGUCCAGCAUGGUUAUAUAGUAUGUUCUUUCGGGCUCAUCCCUUGUCAGCAUAUUUCUUAUAUGAUUUAGCAGAUUUUCAUUUGAUGACCCUCGCGGUCUACCCCUGUGUCUAUGAUCAUGAUAUGAAAGUAUGAUUAGAGGUGUUCGGCAAGUAGGGCCCGGGUGCCCGUCAUGGCUCCUAAGUUUGGGUCGUGACAAACUUGGUAUCAAAGCAGUUGCGUCCUAGGGCUGUCUACAAGCCGUGUCUAGCAGAGUCUUGUUUAUAAUGUGUCGUGCACCACACUUAUAAAUAGGAGGCUGCAGGGCAUUUAGGAAGAUUGUCCCUCUUUCUUAUCUAUGAUCAUGCGUUAGAGCCGUACCAAGAGGAUUUCUUUUCUAAUAACGUACUGCGAUUUCAGAUAUGCCUGUUGUUGACACCUAAUUUUUGACCUCCAAAAAUUUAAAUUAACUAGGCAAGCUUCUUGAAAUGCAAACGGAGUAAAAGAAUUAUUCAGAAAAUUAAAAAUGCUUCCUAAAAUAGCUUUUGGUGAUAUUUUGCUAUUUUCAUUGGCAAAUCCCUAAUACAUAUUUUGUAUAUUUUACAUAUAACAUUUAGUAUAGAUUAUGUCGAUUUUACCGAUUUGAAAAUCAAGUUGCAUAAAAAAACAAGUAUUUCUAAUUAAGUACGUAUUUUCAACUAAAGUAAUUACUAUAAUUAGUCCAUUAUUAAAAAAAUAAGUGUUUGAAUUUGUUGAGUCAAGAAGCUUGAUUAAUUAAUCAAAUAAUUAAUUCGUCUCAAAUUGAUUAAUUAGAAAAGUUUUAGUUAUGUUGUUAGCCAUUUUUUUAGCUCAGUGUUCAGCCCAAAUUUCACCAAUAUUCGCCCAACCCAAAUCAAAAGACCCAGCCCAAUCUCUCAUUUUAAUUCCCAAAACCAUUUGUUCUUCAUUUACCCAAAUCAGCAACCAAACAAACCCUAAGUCUACAGCUAAGCAAUGUCAUUGUCUCCUUCGACCUCUAUGCACGCGAAAGCCAUUUUGGGCUAAAAAUACAGUGAGUUUCCGCGUCAUCAGCAUUUGUUCCUGCAUUUUUGGCAUAGCUUUUAUGGUUUUUGUUUGUUUUCCCUAAGCCUGAACGGUAAUAUCUGAUUUUAAUUUCUUUUGAUGUUUCCCUCCUUUGCCAAGGAAAAGAUUAGAAUCUUUUCAAAAAGAUGCGGAUUUGAAAUUAAAUUGAACGAAUUUCACUCUGUGAAGAAGUCCCACAUCAUUCAAUUGGAACCCAAAAUCAGUUUUGGGGUUCUAUAAAUAGAACCCCCCAUUUCUCAGUUCAGAGACGGGUUGACACAACAAAUGGGUUUUCACACCUAAAAAUGGGUUUUUACACCCGCAAUAGUGGAAACACUUAGAAACUCGGCUAAGCCUUGAGUUUCGAGGAAGUUUCUUGCUCGUAGUUAAAUUUUUGAAAUUGCUUCCGAUUCAUCGGAAUCUGAUAUGGGUGAAAGGAUGUUCGUCGACUCUCGUUGCCCCUGUCGCUGCUCGGCAAAAAGUCUCAAAUCUCAAAUGAUGUUGCUGCAUUUGUGACCUGCUGCUGCAUUUUGGUGAGCUAUUGUGCCUUUGAGGCAGAUUAUCCCUGCACCUUUGAGGCUAUUGUUGUUGUUGUAUCCUUGAGGACACUGCUGCUACCUGCUGGUGUUGUGCUCAAAAUAUAUUUGCUGCUUUUGAUGUAUUUUGAGACUCAUCAUGCUCUGCUACUCUGCUACUGUUUACAUGCAUCAUGCCCAGCUUGCUAUAUGGCAUUUUUAAGGCAAACUUUGCUACAUUUUGGGUAUUCAGUUGAGACAUUUUGAUGAGAACAAAUAUUACAUUUGAGCUGCCAUGAUGUUUGCUAUGGCUCUGGUGCAUUUUGAGGCUGAAAAUACCACAUUCGUGAGACACAUUUGGGGCCAUUUGCUGUUGCAUCCCUGGGAUCAAUGUUGCUGCCUUUUAAUGCAAAAUGGCUGCUAUCUUCUAUUGAAGUUCGAAGCAUUAUUGCUACAUUUGACUGCAACAUUUUUGGCUGAUAUACAGAUGCUACAUCUUUAUGAGAAAUAGAUUUCUACACUUGAUGAAUUCGCUGAUUUGAACAUACACUACACUUGGGGCCGAUGAGAAGAUUUAAUUUGAGGCCAUGCCUUUGCGGAAAGGUUAUCCCUCGGUUUAGGCGAUAAUCACCUCAUAAUAAUAUCACGAGGCAGGAACCAACAUGCGUUUGGCGAGGCAACUAGAAUGGCCACUAGUUUGCAGCCAAGACAUGUUUCAGAUUCCUUUGCCACAUUCGGAAAUAUGAGUCUGAGCCUCCGUAAUCAAAGCUCUCAAAGUUUAAUGCGAGUCUGAGGGAUAUUAUUAUUAUGUUCAUAAACAUCACCCUAUGGGGUGGCGUAUCAUUUUAACUAACUACUUUUCUCUUCAUUGUGCGAGGUACAAAUAAAGCGAAUCUAUGAAGCAAAGCUUAAAGACGAAGUAAAAAAAUCAGAUGCUUAGAGCUUUGGAGUGUUUGGAGCUUCGGACGAAGAACUAGAAAGAGUGUAGAAGAUCUAUUGGAAUAGGAUUGCUAAAGGAUUUGGACCAAAAAGCUAAACUUUCUUUUCCUUCGGCUCAUUAUAUGUUUACAUUAGUUUUGUAUGAACAUGUGAAAAAUACAUUUGUGUUGAUAUUGAAACCCUUAUAAGUUGGAACCUAGGAUUUAGGUAAAUGAUACGGAUAGGGACUCGAAUAUGUUUCAAAGUGGACCCAAAAUCCAUUUGUUUAAAAGUAAAUAAAAGUGAAAAAAUAUUUUUCUGAUAUAAAAAAUCUGAUUACCUUUAAAUAAUAUCUUUAAAGUAUAAGCAAUUAAUUAAUAAAUUUUAUCAGUAUUAUAAUUAAAACGUAACUCUUUAAGAAUAAAAAUAAAAUUACUUUCAAAUAGCGAAAUAAUAAAUGUGAUAAUUUUGAUGCAUAGGACAAAAGACCAAUGAUAAGUGAAAAUAUUAAAAUUCGCCUAUGUAUUUUUUAAAAAAAUAUUAAGUAAUAUUCACUCUCAUGAUGUUCUCAAAUAGUAAAUCUGCAAUACUACGACUUUUUAUUUAAGUUACACCUAAUCUUCUUAUUUGUAUAGAUGAAAAACUAUUAAGUAGUAUUCAUUUGUUAAAGAAUUAUGAGGGUCAACGAUUUUAAUUAAAGAAUUCAAUAUAUAAUUUAUGUAAGAACUGUUAGGUGAGCACUGGGCGUUGGGCGUUAUGCGAGUUUAGGGCGUACAGUCUGGCGCUUAGGGCGUAAGCCUCGCACGUGAGCCUCGGAACGUUUUACCAGUGCCUCACCCCUAAGCGAGUACUGAAACUGCCUUUUAAAACGUUGGUUUUGUCCAGUACUAUAUAUACUUAACUAUUGACAUGUGACAUAUAGUACAAUCUAUGAACCAAAUAUCUCCAAUAUUGACAACGACCCCUUCUUUCGUUCUUUCUUCCUCUCCACAUCCCAAUAACUAAUGCCACAAACUCUUAAUUUUGGACAAUAGUCAUGAAUCCCGUUGUCCAAUGAUCUUCUAAAAAUGAUUUCUUCUAGAAUAGUAGGAGAAUCUUAUAAAUUCUUGAGAAAUUAUAAUAAAAUAUAGAAAAUUAUGAAUAGCUUUUGCAUCCAUUUCGCGCCUAGAAUUUGAUAAAUUGCUCCAAGCUACAGUUUAAGCACCAGAGUCCCUGAGCUAAUAUCAAUAAUAGUUGAUUCAAAGAAAGUUCUUUCUAGAGCCUAUUUUGUCUUAUUUUCUGAUUCAAUUCCGCUGUUAGGGUGAGCUAACUCCAAAAAGCCCGUCCACAGUAUUUCAAGCCGCAACUUGCCUACAUGAAGCCUGAAUCACUAAUAAUCGCGGGUCAACCAUUGCAAGUACAUUUCAACACCGACAAAGAGAUUGAAGAAGAUAGUUAAAUGAAAAAAAAAUAUGUAACACCAAAGUACUUCAGUUUAUUAGAAUGAAAGAACACAAUGAAAUUGAGAAGCCGCAAGGAAAGAAAUUAAAAAAGAAAAUAUCUAACACACAUUUGUGCCAAAGCUACUAGAUUUAGAUUGACUCAUAAUCAAAGUGGUAUGAUGAUUUUGCAAUGUAAAUAACUAAUUUAUACAUUUGAGCCAAAAUUGCUAAAUCUAGAUGGACUCAUAACAUACACUCUACAUCUGUCGCUGAGAACAGACAUGAGAAGACGAGAAGACGAGAAGACAUGAAGAUUGAAACUUAGAGCACUAGCAGCGCAUUGAUUCCUUAAUUCAAAUCUAAAUACUGCGAAAACAUUAACACAUUGUUAUAUUUUUGAGCAGUUGUUGAUUGUUCAUUUACCCCUCAACGAUGAUUAUACUAGAGGUGGCAAAAUUAGCUAGUGAAAUCUAACCCGCUCAAUCCGUUCAAGUUUGGGACCUGCUCAUUUAUUAGCUUAGCUCAUUUCAGCCCAUCAAAAGUUGGGCUGAUAUGUAGUCCAAAUUAACUCAUGAGAAAUCUUUUCAAAAUCUUUUUAAUUUUUCUUAUUUGAUAUGUUAUAUAUAUAGUCAUAAUAAUAAUAAUAAUAAAAAAUAUAAGGUACUAAAAUAUUAUAAAAGAAUAAGUAAAGCAAUUAAAACUUAGUAAGAAUAGGGCAGGUUGGAUUAUGACCCGCAUUUUAGCACAUUUCGGCUCUACCCUUUUCAGCUCAAGUAACUUUUUGGUGGGUCAAUAACCCGUAAAUAUAUUAAUUCGGCUCAUUUUGACCCGCUCAAAUUUGGAUCGACCCGCCUAUUUGACACCUCUAAAUAAUAUGAACAAAUAAACGACACGACCAGCUCAAGCAACACCUGUCGCUUUGGCCGAGUGGUUAAGGCGUGUGCCUGCUAAGUACAUGGGGUUUCCCCGCGAGAGUUCGAAUCUCUCAGGCGACGCUUUUUUUUUUUUUCCUUGUUUGGUCCCCAUUCUGUUUGUUUUAUAUAUAAACUGUUUGGACAUAUAUGUGUAUUUUGGAUUGGAUUGGUCGAUAGUAUAAGGCCAACUAGAAUAGUCUUUCCUUUCUUAUAAAUGGGUUCUUGUUAUGAAUCCAAUGUAUUUGGUGGAUGUCCACUCAAUGAAGGUUCUACUUAUACAUGAAUAUAAUUGAUGUCCUAAUUAAGACUUUUCUAAUUUAGGAUAAACCCAUUUCAAGUUAGAAUAUCACAGAUCGUUAAGUAGAUGUUAUGGUCUUCAAGUUUAAUUUGGUUCAUGGCAGCCCAUAACUUGGCAUCAAUGCCACUCCGUAGAGGGCAGCUUGUAAAUUAAUUAAAGAUGUUAGUUUCCCCGCGAGAGUUCGAAUCUCUCAGGCGACGCUUUUUUUUUUUUUUCCUUGUUUGGUCCCCAUUCUGUUUGUUUUAUAUAUAAACUGUUUGGACAUAUAUGUGUAUUUUGGAUUGGAUUGGUCGAUAGUAUAAGGCCAACUAGAAUAGUCUUUCCUUUCUUAUAAAUGGGUUCUUGUUAUGAAUCCAAUGUAUUUGGUGGAUGUCCACUCAAUGAAGGUUCUACUUAUACAUGAAUAUAAUUGAUGUCCUAAUUAAGACUUUUCUAGUUUAGGAUAAACCCAUUUCAAGUUAGAAUAUCACAGAUCGUUAAGUAGAUGUUAUGGUCUUCAAGUUUAAUUUGGUUCAUGGCAGCCCAUAACUUGGCAUCAAUGCCACUCCGUAGAGGGCAGCUUGUAAAUUAAUUAAAGAUGUUAGUCUCUUUUGGAGGAAAAAAAGCAUAAAAUGUUACUCCCUCCGAUCCGUCCCAAUUUAUAUGAGGGUAUUUGAUUGGACACAAAAUUUAAGAAAUGAAGACUUUUGAAUUUUGUGGUCUAAGCAAGCCAAAAAUAUUUUUGUGGUUAGAAAUCAUUUCAUUAAGGAUAAAAUGAAAAUUUAGAGUUCAAUUAUUGCUAAAUAUAGAAAGUUUUUAUUUGUCUUGGACUGACUAAAACAGAAAGAGUGUUAUAUAAAUUGGGAUGGAGGAAUGUAAGUUUCAUGAGCCAUAUUUCUUGGCAUCUUCAUUCAAUUAAGUAUAUGAACUAAAGAACAAACACUUGUUUGUUAUGAAAUAUAUUAAUGUGGAUGUCCAUGUAGUUUCCCCCACUACUCUUCACUAUUAUGUCUCACCUCCUUCAUGUUUAUAACUCUUGAAGAAGUAACUCCCAUUACUUCAUGACCCCUACUCCCACACUUUAUUUCUAUAACCCCCAAAUGUUAUUACCCAUGUUUAUGACACACCUUCUCAAUGUAUUCCUAUAAAUAGUAGGAUUGAAUGUAAUGGUUGUACACUUGAACACACUUGGAUGAAUAAGAAAGUUCUCAUCUCUUGUCUCUCUAUUUCUAUUGUUUUCAUCCUUUUAUAUUGUUACCCUUUUAGCUUGAUUUUACAAUACGAUAUCAGCACAAGUCUCUAACCAAGUGAGAUGGCAUAGUCUUUUUCCUAAAGGAGUUGAGCUAAAUUUCGUGCUGUUCAGCCUCCAAGGAAACCAAAAGAUAGAUACUAAUGGUUGGCUAAUCUUUGUCCAUGAAUUCCAUUUAUGGGCCAGGGAGGUAUGAGAUUGAGGUCAUUGGAGGCCGUUUGGUGGGUGUUCUAGACUUUGCAAAGUGGAACUUGUCAUUAGCGAGGGGUAUUUGAAGUGGCGGGUCGAGGAUCUUACUGAGUUAUAUUUAUGUAUAACUCACUCCUUACCUGCAUGUCCAUGCAGAUACUGUCGUUGAGAACGAGGCUGGUAAUUGAAGACUUCGUGAGUGGAUUCUGUUGCUGAGGUGAGCCACCACAUUGUUCGUGGAGGCAACCAUUUCAGCUUUAUUCUGUUUAUUUCUAGUUAUUUCUUUUAUUUUGGGUUUACAUGCCCGACACUCAAACUCAUGUAACUCUGUUAGAUGCUCCAUGGUCUUAGCGUGUGAUGUGGGCUAGAGAUUCUUUUUAUCUUAGCGUUGAUUGGUUUUCAUAAAUCGAUUAUGGAUUUGGUUGGCGACUAUUUCACAUUUUUAUCAUUAAUAAUGUUGUUGGACCUGCACUUAUUUUCUUUUAGUGCUUUUGUAAAUAGUUAAGAGUAUGAUAUAUGGUUCGCCUGGCGGGUGGUGGUUGCUGGGUGCCAAUCACGUCUAGCGGGUAUUUUGGGACGUGACAAGACCUCGAGAAGUUCUAUAAGUACUAAUUAUUUCAUGCAUCAAUGUGUUAUCAAACUUUUCAUUUUGAUA